rnacentral:rRNA from 2 species
UCCUGGGGGGGCUUACCAUGCAGUCGAACGAUGAACCACUUCGGUGGGGAUUAGUGGCGAACGGGUGAGUAACACGUGGGCAAUCUGCCCUGCACUCUGGGACAAGCCCUGGAAACGGGGUCUAAUACCGGAUACUGACCCGCUUGGGCAUCCAAGCGGUUCGAAAGCUCCGGCGGUGCAGGAUGAGCCCGCGGCCUAUCAGCUUGUUGGUGAGGUAAUGGCUCACCAAGGCGACGACGGGUAGCCGGCCUGAGAGGGCGACCGGCCACACUGGGACUGAGACACGGCCCAGACUCCUACGGGAGGCAGCAGUGGGGAAUAUUGCACAAUGGGCGAAAGCCUGAUGCAGCGACGCCGCGUGAGGGAUGACGGCCUUCGGGUUGUAAACCUCUUUCAGCAGGGAAGAAGCG